rnacentral:rRNA from 1 species
UACGUAGGAGGCAAGCGUUGUCCGGACUGACUGGGCGUAAAGCGCGCGCAGGCGGCGCGGGGCGUCGGUGCUGAAAUCGGGACCGGCUUAACGGCCCGCGGCGUGCCGAUACGCCCGCGCUGGAGGGUGGGCGAGGGUGGUGGAAUUGCCGGUGUAGUGGUGAAAUGCGUAGAGAUCGGCAGGAACACCCGUGGCGCAAGCGGCCACCUAGCCCAUUCCUGACGCUGAUGCGUGACAGCGUGGGGAGCGAACUGG